GAUGAACGCUAGCGGCAGGCUUAACACAUGCAAGUCGAGGGGUAGAGGAAGCUUGCUUCCUUGAGACCGGCGCACGGGUGCGUAACGCGUAUACAAUCUACCUUUUACAGAGGGAUAGCCCCAGAGAAAUUUGGAUUAAUACCUCAUAGUAUUUUCGAAUCGCAUGGUUUGAUUAUUAAAGUUCCAACGGUAAAAGAUGAGUAUGCGUCCCAUUAGCUAGAUGGUAAGGUAACGGCUUACCAUGGCAAUGAUGGGUAGGGGUCCUGAGAGGGAGAUCCCCCACACUGGUACUGAGACACGGACCAGACUCCUACGGGGAGCAGCAGUGAGGAAUAUUGGACAAUGGGCGCAAGCCUGAUCCAGCCAUGCCGCGUGCAGGAAGACGGUCCUAUGGAUUGUAAACUGUCUUUUAUACAGGAAGAACACUCCCUCGUGAGGGAACUUGACGGUACUGUA
rnacentral:rRNA from 1 species